AUGGAUUUUCCAUCCUUCGAUGGAGACAAUCCCCAGUUCUGGAAGAAUAGAUGUGAAAAAUACUUUGAUGUUUUUGGAAUUGCUCCGGAUAUGUGGGUUAGGCUAGCGACUUUGCACUUCACAGGCAACGCAGCCCGUUGGCUGCAACUGCAUGAACCGCAGCACACGGUGUUCACCUGGGACACACUUUGUGGUGCGUUGAGUACCAAAUUCGGGCGUGAGCAAUAUCAAGCACAUAUUCGGCAGUUUAACACCUUGAAACAGACGGGUACAGUGAGCGCUUAUAUGCAACGCUUUGAGGAACUGAUGCAUCACAUUCUAGCUCACAACCCGGCGUUUGAUUCCAUCUAUUUUACCACUCAAUUUCUGGAAGGGCUUAGAACUGAAAUUAGAGCUGUUGUUAUGCUUCAUCAACCAAAAGAUCUGGAAACUGCCUUCUCUCUUGCUUCGUUACAGGAGGAGCUACUGGAGGCGUUGCCGCGGCGUGAGUACCGGCGUCAGGACACGGCCCCACCACGGCAACCGGCGCCAAGACCGUUGUUGGCCUUCGGCGCACUUCCAGCUCGACAAAUGCUACCGGGUCCACCAGCUGCUGCUGAUGAUAAUCGGGCCAGAGAAGCAGCCCGUGCACCUGAUCAGCGUGAGCAAGGCCUCGGAGAUAAUUGA
rnacentral:rRNA from 1 species